UUUUCCAUCUUUGAAAUAAUACUCCCAACCUUUUUCCAUCUCUUCCUACCGUUGACGGUAACCACCUCAGUAAAAAUCCAAACUUUCUCUGUCCGUGCGGAACAACGCCGCCACAGUUCUGCUUCCUUCUCCUCCCCCAACAACGGCGGCAAACUCGAAUUCACCGAGAUAUCGGCAGCGCGAUCAAGGCAGCGGAAGAAGGAAUCUUCAAGCUGUUCCAUGUGGUAAGUUUCGUCUUAAAUUUGAGAUUCUGGUUAUUGGUUCGCACUUCCACAUCAUCCUACAGUGUACCUAUGUCAUCGGCGAAUUCUUGAUUUUGCUCCCUAGCUCAGUUAUUGCUGGGAAUGUCAAAUUUGGGAUGUUGAUAAGAUGUGCCUUGGAGUUGAAUUCCAGAGUUGUUUGUACAGUCCUAAUAGUACUAUAGUGGAUAGCUUUGAGAGGUUUCCAUACUGUUUGUUCUAUCAAAUUUUAGCAGUAGACAUGGGUUUGAUUUAAUUGAGUUGGUAUGAUCAUUCUCUACUACAACUAUGAUAUUUUAACUUCCAUUCCCUUCAACCCUAAAUUCUUGGUGAAGAUGAAUUAAUUUACUUUCCUUUUGGGUUAUAAUUUAUCGAUUAUUGGCUAUGGUUGGUAUUAACAUUAAGUGUUUGGAUUGUUGGUUGGUUAAAACAUUAACCAUAAACCUUCAUCUCCAAUUUCAUACUAAAAAAUCUAUAUAUAUAGUAAAGCAAUCCAUAUAAUUGAGUUUGUCACACAACUUUCUACUAUUCUCUCAAAUUUUCACAUCAUUAAUUAUUCUUAAAUCAAAAUUUAAAUAUCCUCUCUACUUUUAUUAUAUGUCACCAUAUUAAUUAUCUCCCCUUAAAUCAAUAUUUAACUUUAUUUGUAAAAUCAUAUAUAAAUAAGAUAUGACAUGAUAUCUAAUAUAAUUAUUUUAAAUAAUAAUAAUUUCAUGUGAAAAUAAAAAUCAAAUAGAAAUAUUUUAACUAGUUACCGGUUUGUCAGGUUACAGAUUAUGUGGGUCACAGGUUCAUUGGAUCACGAAGUCAUCGACCUUAGAGUUCUUCAUGUCCUGGUUUAUCAGGUUGCGAAACUAUCGAGUCUUGGGCUAAGCUUGACAUGAGUCACAAUUAGGGUUACGCAGGUUGAGGGUGUGUCGGGGUCAUGAGUUUGUCAUGUUAAAAACCAUCGGGUCACAUGUUCAUUAGGUCACAAAUUCAUCGAGCUCGUAUUAUAUUUUAUCAAAUCCAGGGUUUAUUAGGUUGUGGAUCCAACUAAUCCAGAACUAGGCCGGUUGCAUAUUGUCCACUAUGAAAAGUUUAUUGUCCAUAAAAAAAUAAAACAAAAAACAAAAACAAAAAUACAAUAUAGAUGAAUAUAAAUAACAAAAUAUUCUCCUGAAAUUGUAUACCCUAAAAUUUUUUAAUAAAAA
rnacentral:lncRNA from 1 species